AUGAACGCUAGCUACAGGCUUAACACAUGCAAGUCGAGGGGCAGCAUGGUCUUAGCUUGCUAAGGCCGAUGGCGACCGGCGCACGGGUGAGUAACACGUAUCCAACCUGCCGUCUACUCUUGGACAGCCUUCUGAAAGGAAGAUUAAUACAAGAUGGCAUCAUGAGUCCGCAUGUUCACAUGAUUAAAGGUAUUCCGGUAGACGAUGGGGAUGCGUUCCAUUAGAUAGUAGGCGGGGUAACGGCCCACCUAGUCUUCGAUGGAUAGGGGUUCUGAGAGGAAGGUCCCCCACAUUGGAACUGAGACACGGUCCAAACUCCUACGGGAGGCAGCAGUGAGGAAUAUUGGUCAAUGGGCGAGAGCCUGAACCAGCCAAGUAGCGUGAAGGAUGACUGCCCUAUGGGUUGUAAACUUCUUUUAUAAAGGAAUAAAGUCGGGUAUGGAUACCCGUUUGCAUGUACUUUAUGAAUAAGGAUCGGCUAACUCCGUGCCAGCAGCCGCGGUAAUACGGAGGAUCCGAGCGUUAUCCGGAUUUAUUGGGUUUAAAGGGAGCGUAGAUGGAUGUUUAAGUCAGUUGUGAAAGUUUGCGGCUCAACCGUAAAAUUGCAGUUGAUACUGGAUAUCUUGAGUGCAGUUGAGGCAGGCGGAAUUCGUGGUGUAGCGGUGAAAUGCUUAGAUAUCACGAAGAACUCCGAUUGCGAAGGCAGCCUGCUAAGCUGCAACUGACAUUGAGGCUCGAAAGUGUGGGUAGCAAAAAGGAUUAGCUACCCUGGUAGUCAAAACGGUAAACGAUGAAUACUCGCUGUUUGCGAUAUACUGCAAGCGGCCAAGCGAAAGCGUUAAGUAUUCCACCUGGGGAGUACGCCGGCAACGGUGAAACUCAAAGGAAUUGACGGGGGCCCGCACAAGCAGUGGAGUAUGUGGUUUAAUUCGACGCAAUGCGAAGAACCUUACCAAGUCUUGACAUCCUUCUGACCGGUACUUAACCGUACCUUCUCUUCGGAGCAGGAGUGACAGGUGGUGCAUGGUUGUCGUCAGCUCGUGUCGUGAGAUGUUGGGUUAAGUCCCGCAACGAGCGCAACCCUUGCUAUUAGUUGCUACGCAAGAGCACUCUAAUAGGACUGCCGUUGACAAAACGGAGGAAGGUGGGGAUGACGUCAAAUCAGCACGGCCCUUACGUCCGGGGCUACACACGUGUUACAAUGGGGGGUACAGAGGGCCGCUACCACGCGAGUGGAUGCCAAUCCCCAAAACCUCUCUCAGUUCGGACUGGAGUCUGCAACCCGACUCCACGAAGCUGGAUUCGCUAGUAAUCGCGCAUCAGCCACGGCGCGGUGAAUACGUUCCCGGGCCUUGUACACACCGCCCGUCAAGCCAUGGGAGCCGGGGGUACCUGAAGUGCGUAACCGCGAGGAGCGCCCUAGGGUAAAACUGGUGACUGGGGCU
rnacentral:rRNA from 1 species